UACGAAGGGGGCUAGCGUUGCUCGGAAUUACUGGGCGUAAAGGGAGCGUAGGCGGAUAGUUUAGUCAGAGGUGAAAGCCCAGGGCUCAACCCUGGAAUUGCCUUUGAUACUGGCUAUCUUGAGUAUGGGAGAGGUUAGCGGAACUCCGAGUGUAGAGGUGAAAUUCGUAGAUAUUCGGAAGAACACCAGUGGCGAAGGCGGCUAACUGGCCCAUUACUGACGCUGAGGCUCGAAAGCGUGGGGAGCAAACA
rnacentral:rRNA from 1 species